AUUGAACGCUGGCGGCAGGCCUAACACAUGCAAGUCGAACGAGCGGCGGACGGGUGAGUAAUGUAUGGGGAACUGCCUGAUGGAGGGGGAUAACUACUGGAAACGGUAGCUAAUACCGCAUACCAUCAGAUGUGCCCAUAUGGGAUUAGCUUGUUGGUGGGGUAACGGCUCACCUAGGCGACGAUCCCUAGCUGGUCUGAGAGGAUGACCAGCCACACUGGGACUGAGACACGGCCCAGACUCCUACGGGAGGCAGCAGUGGGGAAUAUUGCACAAUGGGCGCAAGCCUGAUGCAGCCAUGCCGCGUGUAUGAAGAAGGCCUUCGGGUUGUAAAGUACUUUCAGCGGGGAGGCGUUACCCGCAGAAGAAGCACCGGCUAACUCCGUGCCAGCAGCCGCGGUAAUAC
rnacentral:rRNA from 1 species